GCGUGAGAAUCUGGCUCUAGGUUCGGGACAACCACUGGAAACGGUGGCUAAUACCGGAUGUGCCGUUAUGGUGAAAGGCUAGCUGCCUAGAGAUGAGCUCGCGUCUGAUUAGCUAGAUGGUGGGGUAAGAGCCUACCAUGGCGACGAUCAGUAGCUGGUCUGAGAGGAUGAUCAGCCACACUGGGACUGAGACACGGCCCAGACUCCUACGGGAGGCAGCAGUGGGGAAUUUUCCGCAAUGGGCGAAAGCCUGACGGAGCAAUACCGCGUGAGGGAGGAAGGCUCUUGGGUUGUAAACCUCUUUUCUCAGGGAAGAAGAAUGACGGUACCUGAGGAAUCAGCAUCGGCUAACUCCGUGCCAGCGCCGCGGUAAUACGGAGGAUGCAAGCGUUAUCCGGAAUGAUUGGGCGUAAAGCGUCCGUAGGUGGUGAUGCAAGUCUAUUGUCAAAGCGUGCGGCUCAACCGCAUAAAGGCAGUGGAAACUGUGUAACUAGAGUGCAUUCGGGGCAGGGGGAAUUCCUGGUGUAGCGGUGAAAUGCGUAGAGAUCAGGAAGAACACCGGUGGCGAAAGCGCCCUGCUAGGCUGCAACUGACACUGAGGGACGAAAGCUAGGGGAGCGAAUGGGA
rnacentral:rRNA from 1 species